GACGAACGCUGGCGGCGCGCCUAACACAUGCAAGUCGAACGGAGUUAUUUGAAAGCUUGCUUUUGGAUAACUGAGUGGCGGACGGGUGAGUAACGCGUGAGUAACCUGCCUUAAAGAGGGGGAUAACGUCUGGAAACGGACGCUAAUACCGCAUAACAUAUUGUUUUCGCAUGGAGAUGAUAUCAAAGGAGCAAUCCGCUUUAAGAUGGACUCGCGUCCAAUUAGCUAGUUGGUGAGGUAACGGCUCACCAAGGCCACGAUGCGUAGCCGACCUGAGAGGGUGAUCGGCCACAUUGGGACUGAGACACGGCCCAG
rnacentral:rRNA from 1 species